UAAGAAUAAGGAUCGGCUAACUCCGUGCCAGCAGCCGCGGUAAUACGGAGGAUCCAAGCGUUAUCCGGAAUCAUUGGGUUUAAAGGGUCCGUAGGUGGAUAAUUAAGUCAGAGGUGAAAUCCUGCAGCUCAACUGUAGAAUUGCCUUUGAUACUGGUUAUCUUGAGUUAUUAUGAAGUAGUUAGAAUAUGUGGUGUAGCGGUGAAAUGCAUAGAUAUCACAUAGAAUACCAAUUGCGAAGGCAGAUUACUAAUAAUUAACUGACACUGAUGGACGAAAGCGUGGGGAGCGAACAGGAUUAGAUACCCUGGUAGUCCACGCCGUAAACGAUGGUUACUAGUUGUUCGAACUUCGGUUGAGUGAC
rnacentral:rRNA from 1 species